UUGGAGGUAGUGACAAUAAAUCACAAUGCGGAACAAUGUUUUGCAAUUGGAUUGAGAACAACGUACAAACCUUAUCGAUAAACAAUUGGAGGGCAAGUCUGGUGCCAGCAGCCGCGGUAAUUCCAGCUCCAAUAGCGUAUAUUAACGUUGUUGCAGUUAAAAAGCUCGUAGUUGAAAUGAAGGGUAGUUGUGUAAUGAAUACAUUCGUGUAUUUUGUUAUUCUACUACCCUCCUUCUAAAUUCGAUAUAUGAGUAUUAAUUUACUUGUAUAUGGUUUUAGACCUUUACUGUGAGAAAAUUAGAGUGUUCAAAGCAGGCAUUUGCUUGAAUAUAUUAGCAUGGAAUAAUCAUGUAUGAUUUUCAUGAUGUAUUUGAUUGGUUUGGUUCAUGAGAAUAAGAUUAAAAGGGACAGUUGGGGGUAUUCAUAUUCAGUCGUCGUGG
rnacentral:rRNA from 1 species